ensembl:lncRNA
UUGUUAUUCUUGGAAACCCAUGUUAAAGUGCAGACCUGUAAUUGCCUGCCAGCCAACUGCUUCAUCUGGAGCUCAACCAAAGAAACCGCGAUCUGUUCCAAUGGCAGAAGAAAAAGAAAUCUUUGGACUUAUUGAGAAACGGUGUGUGGAUAUCGAAUGUGGCACUUCCCAAGAGAUUUUUAAAGGUAACGAAACACACAAGGAGCAGAUUGCCUGAUUCGAAAGUCUGGAAGAGCAAAUGGACUGAAGAACACCAUCUUUCACACAAGGCUUCAGGAGAGUCCCAGCACCCCUCUGGACACGUGACACAUGAUGGUACAAGGUUUAGAAAAGGAAAAUCUGUCCCAUAUCUUUAUUGUCAAUUAGUGUUCACAUGCAGAAUGCUACAGGGAUUGUUGAAAACAACUAGUUUUCAUUACCUAUAUGUCAGUCACUGAAGUGCUUUAUAUGCAUGUUAUCAUUUCAUCUCCCUAAAAACACUAUAAUGUUGGCACUAAAACUGACUCAUUUUACAGACGAGGAAAUAAAGCUUUACUAUGCUUGAGUCACUGGUAUAAUGUCUCACAACUGGUAAUUAUAUCUUUGCAUGAUUUUGGUUAUUUGGCAAUCAUCCCUUUGGACUGUAAGUGGUAUAAGGACAGAGAUUGUGUCUUUAGAUGCCUCUAUUCAACAAACCUAGAUGGCAUAUUAAAAAGCAAAGACAUCACUUGGCCAACAAAGGUCCACAAAGUCAAAGCUAUGGUUUUUCCAGCAGUCAUCUACAGUUGUGAGACUUGGACCUUAAAGAAAGCUGAGCACCAAAGAAUUGAUGCUUUCAAAUUGUGGUGCUGGAGAAGACUCUCAAGAGUCCCUUGGACUGCAAGGGAAUCAAACCGUUCAACCCUAAAGGAAAUCGACUCUGAAUAUUCAUUAGAAGGACUGAUGCUGAAACUGAAGCUCCAAAAUUUUGGCCACCUGAUGUGAAGAGCGGACUCAUUGGAAAAGAUUCUGAUGCUGGGAAAGAUUGAAGGUGGGAGGAGAAGGGGACGACAGAGGACGAGAUGGUUAGAUGGCAUCACUGACUCAAUGGACAUGACUUUGAGUAUACUCCUGGAGUUGGUGAUGGACAGGGAAGCCUGGUGUGCUGCAGUCCAUGGGGUCGCAAAGAGUCAGACACGAUUUAGUGACAACAACAACAACAAAUUCACCCCAGACUGCUUCAACUAUUUAAC